UUUAAAGUCAUUUUUAUUGAGGCGUGAUUUGGGGUGUCCUGAUAAGAAGAGGAGCUGAGGACACAGACAUGUCCAGCGGGACCUUGGGAGGACAUAGAGGGAAGACGCCUUCUGCAAACCACUGAGAGAGGCCUCGAGGAACCAGCCCUGGCCGACACCUUGAUAUGGGACUUCCAGCCUCCAGGACGAUGCGGUCUCUACCUGGCCUCCCCCAUGUUGACUGCUUUUGUACUGCACCCAUGGAGACAAAGAAAAGACAAAGAAGACGGAACCUCCAUGUUGAAUAUACCUGGUUCCAGGGCGAGGUUCAGCAAUUACAAUAGUGACAUCAGAGAUCGCUGAUAACAGAUCAUCAUCACAGAUGUGAUAACAAGAAAAAAAUGAGAUAUUUUUAUCAUUGAUGUGAUGGCAAAUAUUGAGUAUCAACUUGAUUGAAUUGAAGGAUGCAAGGUAUUAUUCCUGGGUGUG